rnacentral:rRNA from 1 species
CAGUAGCCGCGGGAAUACAGAGGGUGCGAGCGUUAAUCGGAUUUACUGGGCGUAAAGCGUGCGUAGGCGGCUAAUUGAGUCGGAUGUGAAAUCCCCGAGCUUAACUUGGGAAUUGCAUUCGAUACUGGUUAGCUAGAGUGUGGGAGAGGAUGGUAGAAUUCCAGGUGUAGCGGUGAAAUGCGUAGAGAUCUGGAGGAAUACCGAUGGCGAAGGCAGCCAUCUGGCCUAAUACUGACGCUGAGGUACGAAAGCAUGGGGAGCAAACAGGAUUAGAAACCCGUGUAGUCCCUGUCUCUUAUAC